rnacentral:lncRNA from 1 species
CCUGUGAGAGUGAUCCAAACUGCACUUCAAGAUGCAGCAAGGUACAACUUCAGUUUUCUAACCAUGUACUUUUUGUAUGACAGAAGUAAUCAGACUUAUUUGACCAUUUCUGUUUCUGUACAAUGUUUAUCUGCUGAUCACAACCAUGGAGGCUGUAGAUGAGCGAAAUGGGUUUUGAGGACAGUGCGGCAUGAUGUCUGCACUUACAAAAAAAGUUGCAUACAACAGAAGGCGUGCCUCCUAUGACCAGGUCUAAGAAAUACAAGCAUAGUUCAAAGUAAACUGACCAGAAAACUAAGAUUAUCUAUAAAUAAGGGUAGAGCCAUGGAUUACAUGAUUUCUUUUCAAAACACAACAUAAGAUGUAACUGCGCAAACUGCUUAUGCAAUAUAUUCAGGUUGGUGGAAGUCUUGAACUUCAUAUUCAUAUUAACCUAUCUAUUUGUUUACUGAUGGUAACUAUUUCAUCUGAUGGUACUGCUAUUGUGUGACACAAAAUCUGAUGAUGGCAAGAAGCAUAAUUUUGCAAACAUGUAUCUCAGUAGUGUAUACUAUCAAGGUGGCAUUGGGUUUGCAUAGGUGAGGGAGCCUGCUUGAACUUGGUGCACAUUUAUGUCACUAUUAUCUUUUAGUAUAUUUCAUUAGCAGGUGAGGGAGCCUGCUGAAACUUCAUUUUAUUUUGUCUUCUGAAGCUGGCAAAUAACUCGCCAUUGUGUACGAUUGAACCUUGAAACUGAUUAGGUUCUGUAUCAUAAACAAUGUAGUUGACUCUACUUUUGUUGAGUAAUCAUGGAUUAAAGCAUCAACAUAUGUAUUUAUUUAACUUAAUGUUUGUUUGUCCCCCCUUUUCUACCCAUUCUUACAGGUGUGUUGCCAUCGAAGGCGAAGACUAGAUGUCAUGCUCUUGUGUCUGAACAAUCUGUAGUCGGCAGCUGAUGACCCACAAGUGUAUGGGAUCAAUUGUAGUCUUUUCAAUAAGAGUGUCGAACCCAACGAGGGGCAGAAGUAAAGGAUAAGUGGUUUUCAGCAAGGUAAUGUCUGCAAGCACUGAAAUUGUAAGUAGCAAGUAGUUUGAUAGCAAGAUAUUUUGUAACGAGCAAGUAACGAUAAUAGUGACAAAAGUGCAGCAAGGUAGCCCAGUCCUUUUGAGGCAAAGGACAAGCCAAAAUGGUCUCUUAUAAUAAGCAAAGCGUUCUUGAGGGUACAUGGGAAUUUCAUCUAGCCACUUUCAUCAUGUUGGUUCGAUUCGUGUUCGCUACUUUGAUAAUUUGAUAUGUGGGUGGACCGGUGCUUAGGUGUUGUU